rnacentral:rRNA from 1 species
AGAGUUUGAUCAUGGCUCAGAACGAACGCUGGCGGCAGGCCUAACACAUGCAAGUCGAACGUGAAGCCACCUUCGGGUGGUGGAAAGUGGCAGACGGGUGAGUAACGCGUGGGAACGUGCCUUUCGGUUCGGAAUAACCCAGGGAAACUUGGGCUAAUACCGGAUACGCCCUUCGGGGGAAAGAUUCAUCGCCGAAAGAUCGGCCCGCGUCGGAUUAGCUAGUUGGUAGGGUAAUGGCCUACCAAGGCGACGAUCCGUAGCUGGUCUGAGAGGAUGACCAGCCACACUGGGACUGAGACACGGCCCAGACUCCUACGGGAGGCAGCAGUGGGGAAUAUUGGACAAUGGGCGAAAGCCUGAUCCAGCCAUGCCGCGUGGGUGAAGAAGGCCUUAGGGUUGUAAACCCCUUUCAGCGGGGAAGAUAAUGACGGUACCCGCAGAAGAAGCCCCGGCUAACUCCGUGCCAGCAGCCGCGGUAAUACGGAGGGGGCUAGCGUUGUUCGGAAUUACUGGGCGUAAAGCGCGCGUAGGCGGACCUGCAAGUCGGGGGUGAAAGCCCGAGGCUCAACCUCGGAACUGCCUUCGAUACUGCGGGUCUCGAGUCCGGGAGAGGUGAGUGGAAUUCCUAGUGUAGAGGUGAAAUUCGUAGAUAUUAGGAAGAACACCAGUGGCGAAGGCGGCUCACUGGCCCGGUACUGACGCUGAGGCGCGAAAGCGUGGGGAGCAAACAGGAUUAGAUACCCUAGUAGUCC